rnacentral:tRNA from 1 species
GGCCCGUUAGCUCAAUGAGUUGAGCGCGGUGCUGACAACAAUGACAACACUGAGGUUGUGGGUUUGAUUCCCGCUUGGUCCC